GAUCAUUACAGAACGCCCAGUCCUACUUAAAAUACCAUUCAUUUUUCUUUUAUUUUAUCAUCUACUCGAACUGAGGAAAACGUUUGACUAACUCAAAGAAAAGUUCCGCGCCUCCCCUGCCUGUCUGCAGAGGCAGUUUUGAAUUCAGGAGCGGCAUGAUGGCAGCGGCAAACCCUGGCGGUUCUCCGGGUUCGUGGCAACCACGGAUGGGAAAAUGUGGAGGUUGCACGGCUGAUGUUUACUGUUCGUGGCACAGGAAGAGGCAGUUUCAUUUCAGGAAUGAGUGUGCACAAUCAAAGAAUAGAGCGACUGUGGAGAGACCUCUGGGUGGCCGUUACAUGCAUUUACUACGAUGUUCUUCACAACCCUGAGGAAGAAGGCCUUCUUGACAUUUCAAAUGCUGCACACCUCUUUUGCUGCCAUUACAUCUUUCUUCCUCGACUAGAGGAUAAUUUUAAUACAUUUUGCAGUGGAUGGGACAACCAUCCACUGCGAACAGAAAACAACAUGAGUCCCCCAACCAGCUGUGGGAGUUGGGUCACAGAUAUUACCCUGUUCCUGUUCCAGAAAACACACAGCUUAUCACACAUUUGAUUUCCAUGUGUGACAACUGUAAGUGUCCAGAGUGAGGACAGACUGAGGGACCCACUGCUGCACAUCAUCUGUGAGGCUUUGCACCCCUGAUGAUCCACCUGGACAAACUCAGCAGUGUGAGGAAGAGGAGGAGGAAGAGCCAGCAGCAGCUGACAGAUGGAGAGAAUAGACAGACUGUUCCCUGUUUGUGAAGGACUGCUAGAAAAGUUUAAAAUAACUAAUUGUCUGUCCUGAAUCAGUCUUAUUAGGUAAUGUUCAAAUAAUGUUAUCAUUCCAGUGUUUUCAGUGUGGGAGAAAGUACUCAGGGCCUUCAAGUUACACACUAUGAAAGGCAGCAACAAGUUUAAUAUUCAGAAACCUAAAGUAUGUAUCAGCAGCAGAAUGGAGCUAAAAAUAAAUGUUUGUUUCAGUUCUAUGAAGCUUUGAGUAUUUUGGAUUAGUAGCACUGCUGUGUUUGUUGCAUCAUAUUGCUGUAAUUGUUUAUAUGCUUUAUAUAUUCUGAGGUAAGUUGAUCUAUAGUGUUACAUCACAUUCUAUAAGGAUGUUAUGUGUUUGUAUACUUUCUGCCCAGUUUGACCCAUUUAGCAGAAGUCAGCCUGUUUAAGGCUCUGAUAUCUAUUCUGUAUGACUUAAAGCAGUUAUGACAUGGUCUGAUUUUCUCA